rnacentral:rRNA from 1 species
AAUAGAUACCCCGGUAGUCCACGCCGUAAACGAUGAGUGCUAAGUGUUAGGGGGUUUCCGCCCCUUAGUGCUGCAGCUAACGCAUUAAGCACUUCGCCUGGGGAGUACGGUCGCAAGACUGAAACUCAAAGGAAUUGACGGGGGCCCGCACAAGCGGUGGAGCAUGUGGUUUAAUUCGAAGCAACGCGAAGAACCUUACCAGGUCUUGACAUCCCAUUGACCACUAUGGAGACAUAGUUUUCCCUUCGGGGACAACGGUGACAGGUGGUGCAUGGUUGUCGUCAGCUCGUGUCGUGAGAUGUUGGGUUAAGUCCCGCAACGAGCGCAACCCUUGUUCUUAGUUGCCAUCAUUUAGUUGGGCACUCUAAGGAGACUGCCGGUGACAAACCGGAGGAAGGUGGGGAUGACGUCAAAUCAUCAUGCCCCUUAUGACCUGGGCUACACACGUGCUACAAUGGACGGUACAAACGGUUGCCAACCGCGAGGGGGAGCUAAUCCGAUAAAACCGUUCUCAGUUCGGAUUGUAGGCUGCAACUCGCCUACAUGAAGCCG